CCUACGGGAGGCAGCAGUAGGGAAUUUUCCACAAUGGGCGAAAGCCUGAUGGAGCAACGCCGCGUGCAGGAUGAAGGCCUUCGGGUUGUAAACUGCUUCUAUAUGUGACGAAUAUGACGGUAGCAUAUGAAUGAGGAUCGGCUAACUCCGUGCCAGCAGCCGCGGUAAU
rnacentral:rRNA from 1 species